rnacentral:rRNA from 1 species
ACUCAAAGGAAUUGACGGGGGCCCGCACAAGCGGAGGAACAUGUGGUUUAAUUCGAUGAUACGCGAGGAACCUUACCCGGGCUCGAACGGCUAUGGAAUAUAUCAGAGAUGAUAUAGUCAGUAAUGACUGUAGUCGAGGUGCUGCAUGGUUGUCGUCAGCUCGUGCCGUGAGGUGUCGGCUUAAGUGCCAUAACGAGCGCAACCCUUGUCGUUAGUUGCCAGCGGGUAAAGCCGGGGACUCUAACGAGACUGCCACCGUAAGGUGUGAGGAAGGGGGGGAUGACGUCAAAUCAGCACGGCCCUUACGUCCGGGGCGACACACGUGUUACAAUGGAAGGAACAGAGGGAUGCUACUAUGUGAAUAGAUGCCAAGCUCUAAAGCCUUUCUCAGUUCGGAUUGGAGUCUGCAACCCGACUCCAUGAAGUUGGAUUCGCUAGUAAUCGCGCAUCAGCCAUGGCGCGGUGAAUACGUUCCCGGGCCUUGUACACACCGCCCGU